AUGAUGAUAUUGCAAUCAAUUGCGAUGAAUGGGAGAUUAAAUAUACACUGACGGAUUUAUGAUCAAAAGGCGACAAAUUUUGCGAUGGAUUAGCGAUCGACUUAAUAUCCGUCGCUAAUUCUAGUGCUAAUAAUUUCCGCCAGUUUGGUUUUGAUUUUGCGACCGUAUUGAGACCACUUUGCGAUCGAUUUUGAGAUGGAUUUGCCACCGUUUAAAAUCUUGUUGCAAAAUUGCGCGCUGCAGGACUUUAUACACCCUUGGUCACCUUGCGCGAGCGCAACACCUCCUUCUUUCCCCUUCUACUCUUUGUCGCAGCCGUUCCUAGCCCAGUCGCCUCCUUCUCCGCUCUGUUGAAGCGCCGGUGGCUGGAGAAGCCGUUGUCGACGGAGAUUGUUCCUCCUCCUUCGUUCACAUUCGCCUAGUCAGAAGGUGGGAGGCCAAAGAAGCUAAUGAUGGGAAUGUGUUUCAAUAGAUCCUCCGAAUCAUUGGUCUAGUGUCUCACCCAAGUGUCUAUGAGGCUGAGGCUUCUCAUGCUCCUCAACUGUUGAUAAAUGCAAGGGGAGGUCAAGGAGCUAGAUGAGUUGGUUUUACCAAGGUUUUCGAAAAUACAUAUAAUCUGAAGUUGUGCGUAGACGCUGAAUUUUUAUCUUAAUUACGGCUCAGUAAUGAUAAAAGAUUUUAAGUAAAUUUUGAGUCUCAGAUGUACAAUUAUUUUCGAUUUCUAUUUCAAUCAUGUGAGUUUAAAUGUUAGAAUUUAUCGAACUCCUUUGUUGUGACUGGAUUUCUCGGGCCCUGCAUCGAGACAGUGUCAAGAGUGGUAUGGAAUUUUCUAUUAUGCAUCCCGCCACACUGGUUCAUUUUGCGUGCCAAGUGGAUUAGGUCUUCGGGUCCCAUUAAUCCAUAGAGCCCAUUAAAGAUUUUAUGGUACUAAGCCUUAAGCUUAAGGUUUAAUUUCUCAUUUUUCUUAUAAACUAGUUGUAUCUCCGCACAUUGUGCGGGUUAAUAGU